rnacentral:rRNA from 1 species
UACGUAGGGGGCAAGCGUUGUCCGGAAUCAUUGGGCGUAAAGAGCGUGUAGGCGGUCCGGUAAGUCGGCUGUGAAAGUCCAGGGCUCAACCCUGGGAUGCCGGUCGAUACUGCCGGACUAGAGUUCGGAAGAGGCGAGUGGAAUUCCCGGUGUAGCGGUGAAAUGCGCAGAUAUCGGGAGGAACACCUAUGGCGAAGGCAGCUCGCUGGGACGUUACUGACGCCUGGAGGAACGCGAAAGCGUGGGGAGCAAACAGG